GACGAACGCUGGCGGCGUGGAUUAGGCAUGCAAGUCGAACGGUAUCAUCCUUUCGGGGGUGAGAGAGUGGCGAACUGGUGAGUAACACGUAGGUUAUCUACCCUCAAGACGGGGACAACCCAGGGAAACUUGGGCUAAUACCGGAUGUGAGCAACUUUUAGUGUUUGAAAGGUGGCGUAAGCUGUCGCUUGGGGAUGAGCCUGCGUCCUAUUAGUUAGUUGGUGAGGUAACGGCUCACCUAGGCAAUGAUAGGUAGGCGGCCUUAACGGGUGGUCGCCCACACUGGGAUUGAGAUACGGCCCAGACUCCUACGGGAGGCAGCAGUCGAGAAUAGUCUACAAUGGUCGGAAGACUGAUAGUGCGACGCCGCGUGAACGAUGAAUCCCUUCGGGGUGUAAAGUUCUUUUAUAUGUGAGCAGUGCUUCUUAUAUUAACAGUAUGGGGAGAGAGAUAUUAGCAUAUGAAUAAGCAAGGCUAACUCCGUGCCAGCAGCCGCGGU
rnacentral:rRNA from 1 species